rnacentral:pre_miRNA from 1 species
GAAGCUUCCGAUCUCCCUCAAAGGCUUCCUCUAUAAUUGCCUUACAUGAUGGCAUUAGUGGACUCCUUUGGGGAGAUGGAGAGCUU